UCCAUGGCUAAGUGGCUUAACCCCAACUAUGUCGUGGACACCCUCGAAUGGAGUGACUUUGACAUAAUCAAAGAUCAAGGACUUAACCACAAGACAACUAUGAUGCCUCAGGUCAAAGGACUACUUUGCAUUAUCCCAACCAUGAGUUCUCACGUGACAUGAAUAUGAGAACUCUUCGUUGAUCGUGUUCAGUGAACUCAUUCUCUAUUACGCACCUACGUACUUGUCUUGAUGUCACACAUACCAAUGACUCAAGACUAGUCACUCUCCCUGAGAGAAGACACAACACGUACUGAUCUUAACGGACUGUCAAUGCCCAAUUGGCAAUCCUAUGAUCAGGAACAUUUAGGAUAUGUAUACGAAAGAAUGGUCUCAUGAAUCUAACUUCUUUAGAUUGCAUUCUCCCAAUCACAUAUUCCUUGGACUUAUCGUUUAAGCAUAUUACAUGUAUAUGAGACGACUCAAACAAUAACCUUUUGCCCUUUAUAUUUAAACUACAUUAGUUUAACUUGUGAAAUGUCCGUAAAGUAUCAUCAUAUGAUUGGUUUUAAGCUCCUACUUUCAUGCCUUCAAGCUCCUACUUUCUUCCCCCAUCAAUAUUAAAAGUAAAAACAUACUUUAUAUUUAUAAAUUCGAAAUUGUAUAAUAACGUAUGGUCAAAAAUAUGUACGUAUAAUACGAUAAUGUCAAAAUAGAUAUGUACUAACAUAAAGGUCAAAAAACUUGUACUGAACUUUAAAGUCGAAAGUGACAAAGUCUCAACCGAACAUUUGUAACGUCAAAAAUACAAAAAUAUUACUAUAAUAAGGUAAGUUAAAAUACUUGUACUGAAAAUCAAAAUAAAAAAUGGAAGGGUCUCGCCCAAGCAUUCGUAACGUCACAUACUUCGAGAUCAAAUGUGUCUUUGGGUCGAGCCCCAACAAUAACUAAAAGUAACAACUAUCGAAGACGAGUCUACUUGUCCACUUGCUUAACGAACCCAACAAAUAUGCCAUCGAUAUUACAGUCGGCCGCCCGCGAUAUCGACAACACAUUGUUGUCUCCAUAAGCAAGUAGUAAUUUCCUAAGGGUGCAAACAUACCAAUUUGUCCAAACCCAAGUCAACAACAACACAAGCACACAGUUUCUCAAAUCAUAAAAUCAAACAUCCAAAAACCAACUCGUAGAACUCCAUUGUCUAACCAGUGUUGCCAAUAGAAUCUAUCACACCAAGUAUCAAAUAGUGCCACACAAACUAAAAAUAAAACUAUCGUCGUAACUACUCCAAAAGAGAUCGGUGCAAAAUCUAGUCAUUUAGAAACCACAAAUCAAAAGAAUGCAACACAUCAUUCAAGAUCUAUAUAGUUUGUUCAGACUAUUCAACAGUCUAUAAAUAAAAAUGUGAUGCAGGACAAACAACCUAGUACUCAAGGUCUUCAAGAAUCUUCACAAAACUUAGAUGUGAAACACGCAUCACGAAUAAUAAGGUCCUGGAAUGAAGUAGUCGAAAGAUGCGUAGAGGCGAACACAUAUCGUAAACAUGUCUUUCAUGACUAACCGAUCAUCGCUCUCCUAGCUGAGAAGUACAAGGUUCGAAACCUAAAUUAUAAAAACAAUCACUCGGACUACUUCCUUCGAAUAAUGAAUGUCGUUCCAAACCAUUCACAGAAACUGGCUUAAACCUCAAGGCCACAUGAAACUCUUCUUGAUAAGUCUGGUUGGCUUGCGAGAAGGUUAUGCUCUAAAUAUUCCUGUUAGCAUCGUUAUGAAACUGGGCACACACAUCCGCCAAGUCGAUCUAUCGUGAGUUCCUCACUAAUUGAGCAUGAAACCACGUCGAGAAGGCUAAAAGAACACUCUAAGAUUUGAGGGUCAAAACAAGUCCAUUAAAUCUAGAGCACAACAAAUCUAGAUUUGAAUAUACAACUCUGAUGCUUGACUUUAUACAAGUACCUAGCUUGAUUCUGUGGUGGUAAGUCGAGAUCGUUGAGUGCAGACUCAACUCAAUGGUAGUCUAUAGUAAUUUGAUGGACAAAAACUCAAACUUAUUCUCCAUUCCAAAAAUUCACCACAACUUGUUACUACGAUAACCUCAGGGAUAUUCAAUCACCAGUGGUAAUGAUUCAUUCGAUAGGGUAAUACUAGGUGAUUGAAUGACUGAUGGUUCCAACUAAAACUUUCAAAUCUGAGUGGUUCUCCUGAAUAGUCUCUCUGCUAUAGAAAAUAUACAAAGUGAAAUGAUACGAAGUGUUGUAGGGUAAGCACGAACCCAAAGUUGAGUAAAAAGUUUUCUAAUACCAUGGGUGAAACUGAGAUCACAGUUGAAAUCAAUGGGAAUCGAGACGUUGGUCUAACAAAGUCUAGAAUGAUUUUUUUUUUUUUUUUGCCAAGUGGUCAAAAUUAUAGUCCUCACAAACUGGUAGAUACUACAACGAGUGAGUUGAUCAACAAAUUCGAAAUGUCAUCAUAGUCUCCACAUGUACAAGAUGGUUUGUACCUGAAAUCUAUGGUGACAUUCAACCAUUUCCAUUCGCAUCACCAGUGGGUCCCCGACAACCCAAGAAGGACAACCAUGGGAAUUUCUUCCAUCUCCGAACAGGAAUAAAACGAAAUUGAGAUAAGCCCGAUGGCUUCCAUCUCACCACUUCCAUUACUAACUCAGCCAUUUAUGUGUGAAACACACUACAACCGUUUUGGUAAAAAAAGAUGCAACAUUUCUCGCUGUAGAGAAAACAUCACCAAAUUUUUCAGGAAGGAAGAUCAUUAUCAGUUCUAGGUCAAAGGUAGGAUGGUUCACAUCAUGCGGUUCCAAUCGUCAAGAGGCACAUGCGUGAGAUUUUGUUGCAUCAUUGUGCAGCCAAACAUUUAAUAAUACACCACCGCAGAAUUCGAAAAGUGUAAAAACUACAAUCAGAUGAGACAAUACCCCAUUAUCAGCAUCGCAAUAAGGUUGACCGGUUUCUUAGCCAAAAAGGAUGUAGGUCUAAGCUCAAAGAAUAGUUAAGAACUACUGAUAGGAUUUGACGAGGUGAAAAUUAACUUGACACACAAAUUCAACCCUAUAGAUGACAAUUGUAGUAUUAAGCAAGUAGGGAUUGUUCUAGACCGGGGAUUAACUAGGGAUGCUAAUCAACACAAAUAAGACUCAAAAACACUAAACUAGACUCUAUAGACUCAAAACUGACUUAAAACACUAAAACAUCAAGAAACAACCAAAAAGACUCAAUUCCAGACCUAACAAGUGAUUUGGACGAAAAUAAGACUUAACUUGACUCAAAAGAUUAAAAGAAAACAGGUUUUGACUCUAAAAACAAGACUUAAGAAAAAGGGAUUUUGUUUUGACGAAAUUAAAACUUAAAAACAAAAACUUGUAAAACAAACAUAAGAAGACACGAAAUUGAUGAAAUAGAAUGGUGAAAGGCUAGUUAGAGGGUUCCUUCUCCACACAUGACAUAUGCAUACGAAUCGAUUUCCAAUUAUUCUUUCGACAAACCAUGAAUGACAAUGCCCCAAAUUAAUUGUAUUGGACUAAUUAAUUCUCAGAUUUCCCUAAAUUCAUUGAAUUGAAUGGAAAACGCAUUACAACCAAAUUAUUCUUUAUCAAGUUCCCUAACUAUGGAAUAUGCAUGAUAGAAACACUUAACAGAGAUCAUUAAGUUCAAUGGAAACCAUAAGCAUUGACGAGGCAUUCCUAACUAUUAAAAGCAUGUUACUCUUGCCUAGGAUUUACUUAACACAAUCGUGACUAGCGACUUUUACUACUCAUGAAUAUAAGUUCAUAACGAUUAGGUGAAAUUUCCUUAUACUCUAGCAUCAAAUUCAUGCAUGCAAACUAAGUUGGCCACCUUAAUCAACAUACAAGAACAAGUUCUUAAUAAAACAGAUAAGCAAACCACAUUCACGAUUCAUGAAACAAUAAUUGGAGGAAAUCAAUUCAUAUAAAACAUAUGAUCAUGGCUUCGAAUUCACCUCUAACUAUAAAGAAAUUAGUUCCUCAUGUUCGCAAUUAAACAAAGAUAACUUAAAUUAAACAUUGAAAGUAAAAGAUGGAAAACACCUAAGAACGCUCCAGCACUCCCAAAGACUUAGGCAUAGGCACGGCACAAAGGCUCCUCCUCUUUCUCCUUGCAAUACUCACGGCACAAUGAGGGGUGAAUGUGUUUGAGGGAUGUAUGAGUGUAGAAAAAUAUGGUAGAGGGUGGUGAAUGAUUUGUGUGGCAAGGGUGUGUAUUUAUAGGCUGAAAUACAUUUCACAAUCCCUAAGGAUUUGGAUAGGUUUCUGAAAUUAAAGUGGGACAAGGAUUAUAUAACCAAAAUCCAAGUGGAAUGGGUUAAAUCAAUCAGAAACCAAAGGAAAGAAGGAUAGCAAAGGUGCGGCAGGUUUAAGAGAAAGGAUAAGGCUUUUAGAAAGGAUGUUCCAGCACUUAUUUCUAAUCCUAAAUGAAUAAGGAACACGACAUGGUUUUAGAGAAGGAUUACAAGUCCUAAUUCACCUAAGUAAGGGCAUAUAUGUGGCACUUAAGGGAUAAGGGUUCUAGAAUCUGAAAUAUAUGUUUUAAAUGCAUAAUUAUCCCUUAGAAAUAGCUGGAAUUAAGGCACAAAUUGAUUUGGAUAACAUAAGAUUGGAUAAUGCUAGAUUAGGAAAGGAUAAGAUAAGAUAAGGUUAGUUUGGAUAAGAUAAGAUUGGAUAAGGUUUUGGAUAAUGUUCCUUCUUUUGAGCUAAUUCCUUAUCUUCUUUGUCUUGGAUUUAUUUCUUCACUCUUUUCAGCUCAUUCCUAGCCUCUUGAACUUCAAAUUCGUCCAUCCAUCUUGCUCCAUUCAUAAGCUAUCCAUUUGAUGCCCAAAACUGCCUAAAAAAGCUCCAAAUUGCACUUUCUUGCCAACUUUGUCAUAUGGACCUACAAACACACGAGAAUAGCUUAAAACACUAUAAUAAACACAAACUAACUAUGAAAACGGAAGAAAAUAAGCUAACUAAGUCGCAUAAAUAUGCUCCUAUCACGAGGCCAAAGACAUUUCGUAUUUCACAACACCAUGUGAGGAUUUUCAAUUUCCAAAAGUCGCAACCUCUUUUGGAAAUUGAUGAGAAUAACAUCUGCUAUCAAAGAAACUCCCAAGAAAAGUAUCUACAUUAAACAAAAUAACAUUCGAAGAAUUUGACGUAUAGCUGACAGUCGAUGUUUAGUGAACUUGACCUCGUGAUUAGAGUAAGCAUUCAGAUUAUCGAUAGAACAAUCGCCGAGAAUCGUUCUAAGGAUCCACUUGAAUUUCCUCAGCUAGAGCGAGUCCGAGGACAUUAAUUCAGUCCCACUAAUUAACACUUACUAAACUUCACCACAUCUAGCGCUUACUAGCCUUCUCCAACACGCACUUCAAAUGCUAUGAAUAUUUUCCAUAUAGACAUGACUCUACCCGCCAUUCCUAGGGAACACAUGUCGUAGACAUCACCAUUUUAGGUCUCCAAACUCAAACCAUUUAGAUUCUUUCAUUUCACCACACUCCUAAGUAAACACGACUCUGCCCGCAAUUCCUAGGGAACGCAUGUUGCAGAGUUACAGUUCGAUGUUGAAAGUCGUCCAACAAUCCACCACGUCACCAAUGAGGCAUAAACCUGACACAAGAUUUCUUAUUCUUCAAUAUGAUGUGACUAUUAUGCAGAAUAAGGGUUACACCACUGUGCCAAAUGACAACAAAUCUAAAAGUCGUGACAUCCAAAUGAGGUCAUCACCGACAACAGAAGAUCCUAAGUAUACUCUAAAUAAACCACACUCUAAAUAAACCAUACUAAUAUGCAUGAAAACCAAUGAAAAUAGAUAAGACUUAUAAAUUUAAAUACAAUGUAUAUGCAAAUGAGGAACGUAUUUAGAGCAUACAACUAAUCUAGAACACUAAAAAGAAAUACUGUAAAAUUGAAUGAACAAAGAGAUGGGUCAUACACCGAGAGGACUCGAAGAUGCUGAUGCGGGAGUGCCUUGACGUCGAGAUUAUACGUCUCGAUUCUAAGUCCUGAGGGGGUGCAAAACAAAACAUGAGUGUACCAAGUUGAUAUAUAAGUAGUAUUAAAACAUAAUUAUUCAACAACGUACUAACCCCAGGUUUAGAAAACUCGUAUAGCAUAAUAAGUAAUAGGUUUUCCGAAAACCCUAGCAUGCCAUAAAACUUUCAUAAAACAUAUAUUAUAUAAUGUGCUUAGUAGUGGUAUAUCUAUAAGGCAUAUACAUACAUAUAUAUAUAAUAUUUCAUUUGGCCGAAGGCAUAUAGAACACUUCUUCCUUCAUCCAAAAGUUCUACAUCACGCGCCCGUAGGUAGAUCAUUUGCCUGUCAUUCGUCCGUAGGCCCUACAUCUCCUGGCCGAAGCCAAUAUAAGUAUAUUUCAACCCAUAGGGCCCUACAUCACCCACCAAAGCCAAUAAAUAGAUAUCAUUCGACCCGUAGGCCCCUACAUCACCCGUAGGCAGGACCGUUCGAAUAACAAUUAAGUAAGUACAUAAAUAUAUAUCUAUCUUAAUCAAAGUUAAAUAGAUAAAACGUCAUAUCGUAAAACCUAUUCGUAGUAUAAUUUGAUCAAUCAUAUAUACUACAAAGAACGUGAAAAUUGAUAAAGUAUGGUAUUCCAAAAUAUUCUUAGUAAAGCAUGAUAUCUCAUAAAGUGUAAAUCUAAUUUACUCAUAAACAUUUUGUUUGUACCAUACUUGACCAAUCCCACAACUACUUAGCACCGGUCAACGUUAUACCGUCAAGGACCCAUUAGAGUUUCCCUCCAACCAGGAGGCCAAUCACAAUGCGACACGUGUCGACAUCAGAAACCAAUCACAGCGCGACACGUGUCAACAUCAGAAGCCAAUCACAAUACGACACGUGUCAAUGUCAAAACAAAGCUAGAAACUCUUCUAUAAAAGGAGAUCAUUCUCCCACAAUAUUUCCUAAUGUCAUUUGUACUAAAUCAUUCACUUGUACUCACUAAAGGAGAGCUUGAACCUAUGUACUUGUGUAAACCCUUCACAAUUAAUGAGAACUCCUCUACUCCAUGGACGUAGCCAAUCUGGGUGAACUACGUACAUCUUGUGUUUGCUUCCCUGUCUCUAUCCAUUUACAUACUUAUCCACACUAGUGACCGGAGCAAUCUGGCGAAGGUCACAAACUUGACAUUUUCUGUUGUACCAAAGUCCUCACUGAUUUUGUGCAUCAACACAUUUCAUAAAACAUAACCAUUAAAUGAUGUUUUUCAUGUAAUGCAUUUCUAAUAGUAAAAUUAUGUAUUUUGGAAGAGAUCCAAUCACCUUACACCGUUGGUGAAAAGCCAUGCAAACAAGAGAGGAUGGAAUUGCCAUACACAAUUGCACCUAAGCACAUAAAGGUACCAAUUAAUACAACUCUAUCAUAACUAUUGAAUUUGGGGAAAUGGACAUCAGAAACAUAUUCAGGAUGUCGAAUUACCCUAAGAAGGGUCCAGGCCAAAUUUUGUAAAAGUCAAGACAAAGUCAACACCAAGAAUAUUCUCUAACAGAAUAUUCCACAUAAUAUUCCCUAACAGAAUAUUCCACAUAAUAUUCCAUCUGGGUUGGGCCGGUUCAGCCGAGUUGGGCCGCAAGUUUGUGCCAAGAGUUUGGGUCAGGUCCUUUGGCCCAAAGGCCUGGGUUUUGGGCAAGGUUCACACGAGUUUGGGCUUAAAAGCCUAACCCAAGGGUGUGGGCUAUACAAUGGGUUGGGCUUGAUGGAUCACAUGGACUUGGGCCCGGCUCAAGGGUUUGGGCCCGUCUACUGGGUCUGAUGGGUUGGUUUUGCGUAUGCGGGUCGUCGGACCUAAUGGAAAGGAAAGACCGGGAUUUUGGCCAAGAUAUCUUGAGCCCCGAUUGAGCUCAAAUCCCAGCUAAACAUUACUACCCAAUACAUAAAAUUGAAGCCCGUGAGAUAAAGAAUCGAGUUAUACCUUUCUCAUGGCUAAUCGUGGCUGUAUCUCGCAAGAAUAUGCCUGUAAAGGUAAGUUCACUCGUCAGAAAAACUGGGCUUAGCACCCCCAAGGUAUCUAUGUGCUAUCUCAUUAUUCUAACACAUAACCUAGUUAGAAUUAGGCCAAAAAGACGAAAAUAGAGAGAUUUCAAGUGUCCCGAGACUUACCCAAAUCGGAAGGACGAGAAAUCUCGCUGGAGCUCUCUAUUUCCAACUUCUCUCCGAUUUGAAUACGGGUCCAUGAAUGGUUCUAUAGAUUUAGGCUCGGGAAGGAAAAUGGGACAAGGUGAGGUGAUGGUGGCAGAACUUGUAUGAGUGGCGAGUUGGUGACAUGGGUGGUCAUGGGUGUGCUCAUGGGAGAAGGAGAGAGUGGCGAGGGAGAGCUUGGGGAGGGAGAGGGACUAUAAGAGUGAGGAGAAAAGAAAGAAAAUAUAAGAGAGGCUAGGGGACGAAAAUGAAAGGUUGGCCCCAUGUGGCUCCCCAACCAAUCCCAUAAAAGACAUAAUAAGAAAAUAUCUCCCUUGAAUGUGAAAUUACCAUUUUACCCCUAACAUAGUGAAAAAUCUAGGACGGGUUGUUACACCUGCUUCGGUAAUUGGCUUGUUCUCGACGAGGCAUUUGUUUGAUUUGGUACAAUAGAUGAACUUAUUAUAAAACAAGAAGGCCUCAUGUUCUCCUUUCUUGAGGUCAUCUUUUUCUUGACCAGUAAAAUGGGUGAUGAGUUUUUUGUAAUUGAAGAAAUUCUUGUGGAGUUGUUCGCCUCGUUCUUUGGCACUUCUUGGUCCUUUUUCUUUAAGUCCUCGUAAGCACAUUCCUUGAAGACCAUCUUUAGGUCUAGGUCGAUUUAAUACUUAGAGAAGGCAAUAUCAAUUGGAAGGCCAGAUGGGGAGGUGCCGAUAAAAGUUGUCACAUCCAAUACAAUUGCCCCCAUGGGGCCGAGAGGGAGUUCCAUGGUCUUAGUAGCUGAACAUUAGAAACUUAAAGCAGCCAUCAAGAGUUCUCAGUUGAUACUAAUCUCAAUGAUCGAGAGUUUGAUGGCGUCAAAGAUACCAAGCUCUUUCCAAGAUGCACCGAAGUGAGGUUCUAUUCGGUCAACCCAAGCGGCCUAAGAUACAAGGGUAAAAGGCCACGUCCCUUGGGGUUUGGCUGAAUCCCAUUUUAAGUAGUCAUGGCCUUGGAAUAGAGGAUUCAAGCAAUUGGUCUUUAACAGCUUAGUGAUAGGUUCUGGGAUGGUAUCCUUGAACAAAGGUCCCAAAUCUUGAUGAGUUGGGAUUGCUUCAUCCUCAUAACAAAGGGCUAUGAUGGAGUUGUGGUUAAUGAAGUUUUGAGAUUUAUUGCAUUCCUUAGUAAGCUUGGUGAUGAAGGUGUUAGAAGCCAUUGGAGAAAAGAUUGGAGGUUUUCUAGGUUCUAGAAGUUUUAUGGGUUUCGAAUAAACAGAGCAAAAUCUUUAAUAAUUAUUGCAAAAUUUGAAAAUCCAAGCAAAGAGGCUGAAAAGCACGCGAAUUGAGGUUGCACAAUUGCGUGUAAUGGCAAACUUUGAGGCACGAUCUUUAUGAAGAGAUGUUUCAACGUCUACGCACCUCAAGCGUGGUGCGUGUGCGUCGUCGAAGUUAGAUAGUCAUGAUAAGAGGUGGCCACGUGUCAGGAAUUUGGUACUUUUAAAGACUGACAUGCAGAGUGGGGGUUCAUGUCUUAUAAAUGCAUCUGACUGGGUGAAUGGAGAAUAUUCCUUUGGUAAGGAUUGUUGGUUUGGCCAUAUAGUGUAGGCCAAAAAUUUAUUUUUGGUUGGUAACUACUCGUUCUUUAAGGCUAAAGUUCAGCCGGAUGUUGUAGGCCGAAGACCUCAAAAGCGAGGGGGCAAUGUUUGGGCCCAAAAUAACACUUUGGGCUAAGCCCAAGAUUGUUCUCGGUCCAAUAAGGAAUAUCGAGAAUGUUCUCUACAAUGGGCUUAGCCCAAUAAAGUUCAGUCGAAUCCUAUCAGAAAAUGGUUUUAUCUGGAUAGGGGUGAGGUGGUCGAAUCCUAGUCCAAUAAGGAUUCUUCGAAUCAGAAAAGAUGCCAAGAAUCAAGGUUUAAAUCUGAAUGAUUAAGGAGCUGGGUUCAGAGUCCUAUGAAUGUCAAGAUUGGUCGAGAUCUAUUCGGAUUGGGUUAAGGAAUCCUAGUCCGAGUGAAGUUCUACCUUGAUCAUUGAGGAAAUUGCUACUAUAAAUAAAGAGGGGAGUGCAUCAUUCAAAGACCCUCCAAAUCAACACACAAUUGAUCUGUGCAAACAACCUCUCAAAGACUUUGAGAUUUUUAUUUUCUUUUUUCCUUCCAACACACCUUCAGUUUGGAUAAACAGUAGUGUGGAGGCCAUCGGCAACAUCUUCAGUUUGGGUAAACAACACUGGAGCCGUAGAAUCAGCUGACCAAGAAACCCAAGGAUUAGAAUUAGUUUUAAUCUUAGACAAGGUUUUAUUCAAAAAGUAAUCUUAGACAAUGUUAGAAGAAUUUUCCGAUGAUUUUGUCCCAUAUCCAAAUUUCCAAACCUUUUUUGGGUGAUUUUUGGCGUAUUAGAUCUUCAAGUAUAUACAAACAUAUUUGGCAGUUGGAUAUUGAAACCAGUUUCAUAGAAUGGGUGCCCAGUCAAAACAAUAGAUUCCAAAACAUUUAGAGUUUAUUCUAUACUUUAAUUAAGUAGAAUGUAACCUUUUGUUGUAUCCAUUACUUUAAAUAUUUUAAAUUCAUGAUAGAGUUUGUUCUUUGUAUUCUUCUAGGAUUGAGGCUUAUAUUUGUUAAAAAAAUUAUCACAAUCGGAGCUAAAACGAUCGUUAAAUCGUGAUUUUUCAUUUCUAACUAUUGAAUGAUUUCAUCCAAUUACCUAAUCUUUGAACAUUUGUGUUGAUGCAAAAAAUCAGUGAGGACUUUGGUACAACAGAAAGCGUUAAGUUUGUGACCUUCGCUAGAUUGCUUCGGUCACUAGUAUGGAUAAGUAUGUAAAUGGAUAGAGAUAGGGAAGCAAACACAAGAUGUACGUGGUUCACCCAGGUUGGCUACGUCCACGGAGUAGAGGAGUUCUCAUUAAUUGUGAAGGGUUUACACAAGUACAUAGGUUCAAGCUCUCCUUUAGUGAGUACAAGUGAAUGAUUUAGUACAAAUGACAUUAGGAAAUAUUGUGAAAGAAUGAUCUCUAUUUAUAGAAGAGAGUUUCUAGUUUCAUUCUGACAUUGACACGUGUCGUGUUGUGAUUGGCUUCUAAUGUUGACAUGUGUCGCGCUAUGAUUGGCUUCUUAUGUCGACACGUGUCGCGCUGUGAUUGGCCUCCUGGUUGGAGGGAAACUCUUCUGG
rnacentral:lncRNA from 1 species